GCCUGGGUGGUUCAGUCGGUUGAGCAUCUGACUUCAGCUCAGUUCACGAUCUCAGGUUUCAUGGGUUUGAGCCCUGUGUCAGGCU
rnacentral:tRNA from 1 species